UACCAAUGAUUGUGCCGUCGUAUGAAUAUUCCUUGUUAAAACGAAUAUUCCCCGACUAAUCGAAUAUAAUAUAACUGUAGCAUCCCCGAAUCCGGGUCCCAAAUCGCCACGGAUCCGGUAUACUAUUUCUAUCACUAUUGCGGAAGAUAUAAACAUAAAUUGUUUAUACAUUAAACUUUUACACAUCAUUCCCAAGGUCUACAACCUUAACUUAAUACAUACCUUCAAUAUCUUAGAAGAUUUAUAAUACUAUUUUCAUCAGAAAAUUUAAUAAAUUUUACUACAACAUAAAGAAACUUUUCACUUUGUCUUUGCCUCUGCUUUAUUCAAGCCUUCAUCUUAAUCUGAAAAUUUUAUCAUGAUAUAGCAAGGGUGAGCAACAAAUUUGCCCAGCAAGUUUUACAUACAAAGGAGAUAUAUCAUGAUUGAAAAGAAUGGAUAAACUUUCAAGUUUUCAACAAUAUAAUAAUUGUGAAAUAACAUGAAUCAAUUUUUCAAUGAUUGAAUGAUUGAACCAAUAAUAAUGGAUUUCAACAAUUAACAUGAACAAGUUUAACUGAAACAUAUUGUAAUGAAGGUGACCAGCCUUUCAUACCUGAUGAACAUAUACAACAUGCACAAUGUGCGAAUCAAUAAUUUAUUGACGUGGUAAAAUCAACAAUGAUUAACCACUAACAUGCUUUGAAUUAACAACUCAAGUUGAG
rnacentral:lncRNA from 1 species